UCGCUGAGUCCCCUUAGCCUCUUCACUUGC
rnacentral:piRNA from 1 species